rnacentral:rRNA from 1 species
AUGGUUUAAGAUGGGCAUGCGCGUCAUUAGCUAGUUGGUGGUGUAAUGGACCACCAAGGCUACGAUGACUAGGGGGUCUGAGAGGAUGUCCCCCCACACUGGUACUGAGACACGGACCAG